UACGAAGGGGGGCUAGCGUUGCUCGGAAUGACUGGGCGUAAAGGGCGCGUAGGCGGAUGGCACAGUCAGAUGUGAAAUUCCCGGGCUUAACCUGGGGGGCUGCAUUUGAUACGUGUUGUCUUGAGUUCGGAAGAGGGUCGUGGAAUUCCCAGUGUAGAGGUGAAAUUCGUAGAUAUUGGGAGGAACACCGGUGGCGAAGGCGGUUCUCUGGGCAUUACCUGACGCUGAGGAGCGAAAGUGUGGGGAGCGAACAGG
rnacentral:rRNA from 1 species